CUGGGCCAGAGGCAGCGACAGCGAGGGGCCUCUGUCAUGUUUGGGCCACAGCCAGCAGUCCACCUUUUCUCCUGUAAGCACCUUCCUUUUCCAUCUGGGGAGGGAAGCUGAGAUGGCCCAUCAGUUUGACAGGCAGCCUUGUCCCUGGUCCCUUGGGGCUGCCUCGUGAUUCAUACCAGGAACUAAGAACCCAGUAGUUUCUCAGCCUCUGAAGUUGGGUGCCAGAGCAGGCCCAAUUGGUGUUGAAGACCUGGAGGGUUCCUGGAGUGCCACUGGUCCUCAGUUACCUUUGGGAGCCUGGAAGCAUGGAUUAAUAGCACCGAAGAAGAAGCAGCAGGCUCCCAGGUUUCGGCACCAGAUGUCCUGCGAGAUCGUCUUGCCAGCAAGAACGACACAGGACACUCGGAUCCUUCUGCAGUAAAGCUUUAAUGCAUCUUGAGAGAGAGAGCAUAAGCUUACAGGGCGGAGACCCCGAACUCCCAAGAACCCAUCCCUUAUAAAAGCUGGCAACCGCUGCCUCGGACGUGUUACCCCCUGACUCGCUGUAGCUCAUCGGACCAUAUGACGCC
rnacentral:lncRNA from 1 species